UACGGGGGGGGCAAGCGUUGUUCGGAAUUACUGGGCGUAAAGGGCUCGUAGGCGGCCAACUAAGUCAUACGUGAAAUCCCUCGGCUUAACCGGGGAACUGCGUCUGAUACUGGAUGGCUUGAGUUCGGGAGAGGGAUGCGGAAUUCCAGGUGUAGCGGUGAAAUGCGUAGAUAUCAGGUGGAACACCAGUGGCGAAGGCGGCUUUCUGGACGAUAACUGACGCUGAGACGCGAAAGCGUGGGGAGCAAACAGG
rnacentral:rRNA from 1 species